rnacentral:lncRNA from 1 species
GGGAGGGAGCAGGGGAUGAGGGACGGCGGAAUCGGGUUGAGGAGCGUCGAUGGGAGGUAACAUCAUGUUGAAACUUGUUUCUCCCAUGGAUGAUGACGAUUAUAUUGAUUCUCUCAAGGAUAUGGGAUCAACAAUUAUCUGUGUCUCCAUUUGCAGGCUGUGGCUUUUCUGCCUUGAAAUGGGAAGUGCCAUGGAAUUUGGAAAAGGAAGAAAGCUGUUAAAGUUGAAAGCAGAGAUGGUUUAAAACGAGGAUGUGAAUGAGACAGCAUUAGACUUGGUGGUUCGUGGAUCGCAUGCAUAACAGCAUUUCAGUAGUGAUUUGCAUGUCGUAAGAUAUCAAUGGUUAGGUUUUUUAUUUUUUAAUUUUUUAAACUAUCGUUAUAUUUUCUAAUCAUCCAAUUAUAA